UACAGAGGGUGCGAGCGUUGUCCGGAAUCAUUGGGCGUAAAGGGCGCGUAGGUGGCCCGGUCAGUCUUUGGUGAAAGCGCGGGGCUCAACCCUGCGUCGGCCAGGGAUACUGCCGCGGCUGGAGCACUGUAGAGGCAGGCGGAAUUCCGGGUGUAGCGGUGGAAUGCGUAGAGAUCCGGAAGAACACCGGUGGCGAAGGCGGUCUGCUGGGACGUGGCUGACGCUGAGGCGCGACAGCGUGGGGAGCAAACAGG
rnacentral:rRNA from 1 species